rnacentral:lncRNA from 1 species
AAGAGCUCAUUGUAAGAAGGCCCAAGAGUAAGCCAUGUGAGAUUGAUGACGACGCCUAAAAGCAAUUGACUUACAAGGGUGUGGGAAUGUGACUCAAUAUUGAAUCGAGUGUUUGAUUCAAUUUGAUUUGUUAUUAUUAUGUUAACUAUACAAAAAGAAAUUUGGUUUUUUAGAGUAUUUUAAAUUAAUAGAUAAAAAGGAAAUAACUUAAUUAAAUCAAAUGAAACAAACUAAAUCAAAAUUAAACCAAGAAAAAAAAAAUUAAACCAAAU